AGAGUUUGAUCAUGGCUCAGGAUGAACGCUAGCGGCAGGCCUAAUACAUGCAAGUCGAACGGAUUCAGGGGCUUCGGUUCCUGGAUUAGUGGCGCACGGGUGCGUAACGCGUAUGCAACCUACCUUCCACUGGGGGAUAGCCCCGGGAAACCGGGAUUAAUACCGCAUAAGACAGCGGCACGGCAUCGUGCAGCUGUUAAAGUUUCGGCGGUGGAAGAUGGGCAUGCGUGCCAUUAGCUAGUCGGCGGGGUAACGGCCCACCGAGGCGACGAUGGCUAGGGGCUCUGAGAGGACGGUCCCCCACACUGGUACUGAGACACGGACCAGACUCCUACGGGAGGCAGCAGUAGGGAAUAUUGGGCAAUGGCCGCGAGGCUGACCCAGCCAUGCCGCGUGCAGGAAGAAGGCCUUCUGGGUUGUAAACUGCUUUUAUCGGGGAAGAAAACGCCCCUGCGGGGGUAACUGACGGUACCCGAUGAAUAAGCACCGGCUAACUCCGUGCCAGCAGCCGCGGUAAUACGGAGGGUGCAAGCGUUGUCCGGAUUUAUUGGGUUUAAAGGGUGCGUAGGCGGCCCGUUAAGUCAGCGGUGAAGUCCCGGGGCUCAACCCCGGAACUGCCGUUGAUACUGGCGGGCUUGAGUUCGGUCGAGGCGGGCGGAACUGGCGGUGUAGCGGUGAAAUGCUUAGAUACCGCCAAGAACCCCGAUUGCGUAGGCAGCUCGCUUGGCCGAAACUGACGCUGAGGCACGAAAGCGUGGGGAGCGAACAGGAUUAGAUACCCUGGUAGUCCACGCCGUAAACGAUGGAUACUAGCUGUUGGGAGCAAUCUCAGUGGCUAAGCGAAAGUAUAAGUUCCCCCCUG
rnacentral:rRNA from 1 species